AUUGAACGCUGGCGGCAGGCCUAACACAUGCAAGUCGAGCGGCGGAAGGGAGCGUGCUCCCGGAUUCAGCUGGGGACGGGUGUGUAAUUCCCAGGAAUCUGCCCUUGAUCGUGGGCUAACGUCCGGAGACGGGCGCUACUACCGCAGACGUCCAGAUGGAGAAAGUCAGGGUUCGGCGGACCUCCCGCGCUCAGAUGACCCUAAGACGGAUUACCUAGUUGGUGGGGUAAAGGCCUACCAAGGCGACGUUUCGUAACUGGUCUGAGAGCAUGAUCAGUCACACUGGAACUGAGACACGGUCCAGACUCCUACGGGAGGCAGCAGUGGGUAAUAUUCGACCAUGGGCGAAAGCCUGAUCCAGCCAUGCCGCGUGUGUUAAGAAGGUGCUCGGAUUGUAAACCCCUUUUAGCUGGAACUAAUCGAAGCAAGUUAACACGCAGUUGUUUUGAUGUCACCAACGGAAUAAGCACCGCCUAACUACCUG
rnacentral:rRNA from 1 species